rnacentral:rRNA from 1 species
GACGAACGCUGGCGGCGUGCCUAAUACAUGCAAGUCGAGCGAGCGAAACUAACAGAUUUACUUCGGUAAUGACGUUAGGAAAGCGAGCGGCGGAUGGGUGAGUAACACGUGGGGAACCUGCCCCAUAGUCUGGGAUACCACUUGGAAACAGGUGCUAAUACCGGAUAAGAAAGCAGAUCGCAUGAUCAGCUUUUAAAAGGCGGCGUAAGCUGUCGCUAUGGGAUGGCCCCGCGGUGCAUUAGCUAGUUGGUAAGGUAAAGGCUUACCAAGGCGAUGAUGCAUAGCCGAGUUGAGAGACUGAUCGGCCACAUUGGGACUGAGACACGGCCCAAACUCCUACGGGAGGCAGCAGUAGGGAAUCUUCCACAAUGGACGCAAGUCUGAUGGAGCAACGCCGCGUGAGUGAAGAAGGUUUUCGGAUCGUAAAGCUCUGUUGUUGGUGAAGAAGGAUAGAGGUAGUAACUGGCCUUUAUUUGACGGUAAUCAACCAGAAAGACACGGCUAACUACGUG